GGAAAAGAGAAUCGGAUGAGCCUCGGCGUCUACCCUCCUUGGCCGGUUCUUUGUCUGCUCCGCCCGCUCCGAGCUCAAGCACGGCAAAACACUCUGGCCAAAGGAGCAUUUGGACCUGAGUGCACUGAGGAAGGGGCCUUGGGGAACAACAGUUCUCACGCUCCUGGAAUGCCUGCUUGGAGUUCAGCGCAAAAUCUACAGGACAACAGUCAGCAUCAGAGCAAGUUACUGUUAAAGAUAUUUGCCUUGGACAAUGUGUUCCCUCUGCCCUGAUAAGACUGCCUAAACUAGGUUGACAUGAGCCAUGCAACAAGCCAUCCCAUUCUGGCCCUGGCCUUUACAAAACCUCCUAUACAGUAUGUUGCAGAACGCUUUUCUUCUACAUCUUUGUUCUCAUGUCCUUGACAUACAAAUAAAUAAGUGCAAAGGUCUCAGCUGGUUGCUGUUCCCUUGAGUCUCUCUUAUGCCUAAGAAGCAGCCCCUUGAGUUCUUGGUGAAUGAAUUAAAUCUUGUCUGUGAGUAAUCUUUAUCCCCGAUGCAGCCGCGGUUUUAUACUGUGACACUGGGACAAAAUACCUGACACGUGUGACUUAAAGAAGAGAUUUGGCUCACAGUUCCAGAGGGUUCACUCAGGCUGCUAUCGCCAAGGCAGGAUCAGCAUGGUGGAAGAAUGCGGCAGGGAGAAGCUGUUCAAACCCGGGGGACAGAAACAGAGAGAGCAGGAGCAGGGAAUGUAAGCUUCCAGGUUACACUUUCUGUGGCGCACCGCCUACAGCCAGGCCCUGCAUUCUAAUAACACAUUCAGCUAUGAACUCACAAUGACGUAACCCACGGGGAAGUGUAACAUCCCCGCGAUCCAGUCACCUUCCCAAACCCCCACUUCUGAACGGAGGAGACGCUGAGGGAACAUCUUAGGUCUGACUCAUGACAUAACAGCUGAGCAAAUCAGAUACAGUAUAUUAGAGAGAGAAUUACCACUUUCUAAACUGUAUUGUUUGUGAUUUUGCAGAAAAAGGCGGAGUGUGAAGAGGGCAGAGACAAUAAAUACCUUUUACAUAGAAGCAUUAAUGUAAGUUCAUAAAAUGAAAAUUAAAAAAUUGGAUAAAUGA